rnacentral:snRNA from 1 species
AGCUUUGUGCAGUGGCAGCAUUGUAACCAAUGAGGCUUAUCCAAGGCACGAUUAUUGCUAAUUAAAUAUCUUAUUUUUGUUUCCUUACAUUUAAA